rnacentral:tRNA from 1 species
GCGGGCAUCGUCCAACGGUAGGACCUGAGUCUUCCAAGCUCAUUAUGCGGGUUCGAUUCCCGCUGCCCGCU